rnacentral:rRNA from 1 species
AAAAGUUUAAAAAUAAUUUUUUUACCCGAAAUUAAAAGAUCUAAUUUAUUAAAUUAUUUUAGUAAAUUUUUUGUUUCAAAAUUUGAUUUAUUAUAAUUUAGGUGUGAUAGGCUUAUCAAUUUUAGUAAUAUCUGGUUAAUAUUAAAAUGUAUUUAGUACAUAAUAAUUUUUGAAUUUUUAAGUUUUGAGAUUAAAAAUAUAAGGAUUUAAAUGUUAAGGGUUUUAUGAAAUAAUUUUCGUGUGUAACCAAUUUUUAAUAUAAUUUAUGUUAAUAUUUAUCUUUUAAUUUAAAUAUUAAUAUAUUAUAAUUAUUUAUUAUAUUUAUAAUGUUAAAAUUAGUAGAUUAUUUUAUAUUUAAUUAAGGAACUCGGCAAAUAUAAUAUUCAACUGUUUAUCAAAAACAUAGCUUUAUGAAAUAUAUAUUAAGUUCAACCUGCCCAAUGAUAGAUUUUUAAUGGCC